AUUGAACGCUGGCGGCAGGCCUAACACAUGCAAGUCGAACGAGUGGCGGACGGGUGAGUAUUGUCUGGGAAACUGCCUGAUGGAGGGGGAUAACUACUGGAAACGGUAGCUAAUACCGCACACAACCAGAUGUGCCCAGAUGGGAUUAGCUUGGUGGUGGGGUAACGGCUCACCAAGGCGACGAUCCGUAGCUGGUAUGAGAGGAUGACCAGCCACCCUGGAACUGAGACACGGUCCAGAGUCCGACGGGAGGCAGCAGUGGGGAAUAUUGCACAAUGGGCGGAAGCCUGAUGCAGCCAUGCCGCGUGUAUGAAGAAGGCCUUCGGGUUGUGAAGUACUGUCAGCGGGGAGGCGUUACCCGCAGAAGAAGCACCGGCUAACUCCGUGCCAGCCGCCGCGGUAAUAC
rnacentral:rRNA from 1 species